UAAGGAAUAUUGGUCAAUGGGCGCAAGCCUGAACCAGCCAUGCCGCGUGCAGGAAGACGGCCCUCCGGGUUGUAAACUGCUUUUGUACGGGAAUAAACCUCGCUACGUGUAGCGAUCUGAAUGUACCGUAAGAAUAAGGAUCGGCUAACUCCGUUCCAGCAGCCGCGGUAAUACGGAGGAUCCAAGCGUUAUCCGGAUUUAUUGGGUUUAAAGGUUGCGUAGGCGGCCUGUUAAGUCAGUGGUGAAAGACGGUGGUUCAACCAUCGCAGUGCCCUAGAUACUGAUGGGCUUGAAUGGACUAGAGGUAGGCGGAAUGUGACAAGUAGCGGUGAAAUGCAUAGAUAUAUCACAGAAAAACGAUUGCGAAGGCAGAUUAAUAUGGUUUUAUUGACGCUGAGGCACGAAAGCGUAGAGAUCGAACA
rnacentral:rRNA from 1 species